CAAACCAAAGCUGGCGACCGGCGCACGGGUGAGUAACACGUAUCCAACCUGCCUCAUACUCGGGGAUAGCCUUUCGAAAGAAAGAUUAAUAUCCGAUAGCAUAUAUUUCCCGCAUGGGUUUUAUAUUAAAGAAAUUCGGUAUGAGAUGGGGAUGCGUUCCAUUAGUUUGUUGGGGGGGUAACGGCCCACCAAGACUACGAUGGAUAGGGGUCUGAGAGGAAGGUCCCCCACAUUGGAACUGAGACACGGUCCAA
rnacentral:rRNA from 1 species